rnacentral:misc_RNA from 1 species
AAGUCGUAACAAGGUUUCCGUAGGUGAACCUGCGGAAGGAUCAUUAAUGAAUUAUUAGAAUGAUUUGCUGCUGCCUUGAAAAAGGAUUGUGCACAAUCUUUCAAUAUUCUACUUAACCACCUGUGCAUUUUUCAUAAGUCAUGAAUACAACUUAUCACUGAAAAUGUGGAUUUGAGACUUAGUUUCAUACUUGGUCUCAAUGGUAAUCAUGGUUUAUGCUUUUCUUACACACACUAUUCAAAUGAAAUGAAUGUAUUACUUGUAGAGUUUUACUCUAUAAUAAAUAAAAUACAACUUUCAGCAACGGAUCUCUUGGCUCUC